rnacentral:rRNA from 1 species
GACUCGUCACACUAUCAUUAACUGAAUCCAUAGGUUAAUGAGGCGAACCGGGGGAACUGAAACAUCUAAGUACCCCGAGGAAAAGAAAUCAACCGAGAUUCCCCCAGUAGCGGCGAGCGAACGGGGAGGAGCCCAGAGCCUGAAUCAGCAUGUGUGUUAGUGGAAGCGUCUGGAAAGGCGCGCGAUACAGGGUGACAGCCCCGUACACAAAAGCGCAUGUGCUGUGAGCUCGAUGAGUAGGGCGGGACACGUGGUAUCCUGUCUGAAUAUGGGGGGACCAUCCUCCAAGGCUAAAUACUCCUGACUGACCGAUAGUGAACCAGUACCGUGAGGGAAAGGCGAAAAGAACCCCGGCGAGGGGAGUGAAAAAGAACCUGAAACCGUGUACGUACAA